CUAUCGGAUCGUUUUAGAAACAUCAGUGGCCAACGGUCGUCAGGAUCGUUGAGCUGCAUUGGCGGGAUUUCGCCGUCUUCGUUUCUCUUUCUUCGCGGACGAACACGCGCUGGGCCUGCAUGGUUGCAGGAUCCCGGUCCUUAACUGGAUAUGCGUUAGGGGCUUGUAGCUCAGUUGGUUAGAGCGCGCGCUUGAUAAGCGUGAGGUCGGAAGUUCAAGUCUUCCCAGGCCCACCACACUCAUCGAGUGAGCAUUCGUCUUCUGGUUACGGGGCCAUAGCUCAGCUGGGAGAGCGCGUGCUUUGCAAGCAUGAGGUCGUCGGUUCGAUCCCGUCUGGCUCCACCAGAUGGUUUGAUCACCGACAACUCAACCGUCGUCCGCGAAACAUCACUUCGCACCCACUAGUCCGGAUGGACAGUGACGUGCGUGAUUUCUGACAUCGUAAAGAGGAGAUCGAUCCGAGUUGGAUCGUGCAGAAGAUUUCUGCGCGGUACUCCAUUAUCUCCGGAUCAUUUCGGCGCUCGCGCGUCUUCCAGGGUAGCUCACAAGGCUGCAUUGAAAGACAAGCGAGUUGUAAAUGAUCCUUUUAGCGAAGCUUGACCGCCUCGCUAUCGGAACGAUCUUACGAAGCAAGCUGGUCUUUCUAAUCAUUGUCCGGCUGUACGUAGCGUUCAUCGAGGGCGCGCGCCGCAAGGCAAUCGUACAGACAACAUUCUGCCGAGUGUGUGGACAUUGAUAAUGAGAG
rnacentral:tRNA from 2 species